ensembl:misc_RNA 7SK 7SK RNA
CGGCGUAAGGAUCCCGGUUCGAGCCCCCGACUGUCACCCCAUUGAUCACCAGGGUUGAUUCAGUUGAUCUGGCUGCCUAGGCGGGUGUCUCCUUUCUCCCUCACCGCUCCAUGUACGUCCCUCCCAAAGCUGUGUGCUAGGUCAAAGAGGAUGGCCUUCCCAGAAUAGAGACAGGCCGGUCUACGGUGGAGGGUAUGCGAGUAGUUGUGCUCCCCUGCUAGAACCUCCAGACAAGCUCUCAUAGUACAGGCACCAAGCCCCAGCAAUAACCCUGGAGGAAAAAAAAGUGUCCAGUGGAUAUAUCUCAUAUAUAUGUAUACAUACACUGCAUAUACAUAUAUAU